UGGGGAAUCUUGCGCAAUGGGCGAAAGCCUGACGCAGCGACGCCGCGUGAGUGAUGAAGGCCUUCGGGUUGUAAAGCUCUGUGGGGAGAGACGAAUAAGGGCCGGCUAAUACCCGGCUCGAUGACGGUAUCUCCUUAGCAAGCACCGGCUAACUCUGUGCCAGCAGCCGCGGUAAGACAGAGGGUGCAAACGUUGUUCGGAAUUACUGGGCGUAAAGCGCGUGUAGGCGGCAGGGCAUGUCGGAUGUGAAAUCCCGUGGCUCAACCACGGAAGUGCACCCGAAACUGCCCAGCUUGAGUCUCGGAGAGGAAGGCGGAAUGCUUGGUGUAGAGGUGAAAUUCGUAGAUAUCAAGCGGAACACCGGUGGCGAAGGCGGCCUUCUGGACGAUGACUGACGCUGAGACGCGAAAGCGUGGGGAGCAAACAG
rnacentral:rRNA from 1 species